AUAUAUAUAUAUAUAUAUAUAUAUAUAUAUAUAUAUAUAUAUACUUUUCCUUAAAAUAAAGAUUCUUCUAAUAAUACAAAAGGCUAAAACUUACACAAACAGAAUCUUCACUCUCAGCACAAAAGGGUCACACAGUUUAUGGGUGAAGCUUAUUUCAUUCUUCUAGUUUUUUUAUAAGUGUUUGAGUAAAUUGAUCAUAACAAGGUCUCUAAUGUAUAUUUUUCCUUGUUCCUGUUUAGUAUGAUUAAAAACUCUUGAUUAUUUUUUACUUUUGCAGAAAGAGACGGAUUAAUAGACCUAAGUCAUUAUUUGCUGAAGAUGUGAAUGCAAUCUUCAGACAAGCAAAAGAAGAACAAGAAAUCAUUCAUGUCUUCACCAAACAGCUCACACAUUUGUCUUGGUUUAAUUUACAGAGUCACUUGAUAUACUGUCCAGGCUUGGCAUUCUAUUGCAUAUGAUUUCUUGUAUUGAUUUUCAAUGGAGUAUUUCAAACUUAAUGUUAAGCAAAAUUGAUGGAAUACUGCCUACGGGUCCAAUGGAGAAAUAAAGGAUGUUCGGAAGUAUUGGGCUUUAUUUUUUUUAAUCAUUUGUAAAUGAUUAGAUAUUUUGAUAUUAUAUUUUAAGUUUAUGAACUAUUUUAUACUUAACGAUGUUAAGUAACUAUGUUAUGUAAAUAUAUUUAAAAAUUUUGUUAGGUAAAUAUUA